GACGAACGCUGGCGGCGUGCCUAAUACAUGCAAGUAGGACGCAGUUGCGAACGGGUGAGUAACGCGUAGGUAACUACCUAUUAGAGGGGGAUAACUAUUGGAAACGAUAGCUAAUACCGCAUACUAGUAGAUGGAUCUGCGUUGUAUUAGGUAGUAGGUAGGGUAAUGGCCUACCUAGGCAACGAUACAUAGCCGACCUGUGAGGGGGGUCGGCCCCACUGGGACUGGGGCAACGCCCAGACCCCUUCGGGGGGCAACAGUAGGGAAUCUUCGGCAAAGGGGGGAACCCUGACCGAGCAACGCCGCGUGAGUGAAGAAGGUUUUCUGAUCGUAAAGCUCUGUUGUUAAGGAAGCGGUACUUAACCAGAAAGGGACGGCUAACUACGUGCCAGCAGCCGCGGUAAUUC
rnacentral:rRNA from 1 species